UUUCCGUAGGUGAACCUGCGGAAGGAUCAUUACAGAGUUCAUGCCCUCACGGGUAGAUCUCCCACCCUUGAAUAUUUAUACCUUAGUUGCUUUGGCAGGCCGUGGAAACACCAUGGGCUCCGGCUUAUGCGUGCUUGCCAGAGGAAACAAACUCUGUUUUUAGUGAUGUCUGAGUACUAUAUAAUAGUUAAAACUUUCAACAACGGAUCUCUUGGUUUUG
rnacentral:misc_RNA from 1 species